AAGUUAAGCAGAAAAGGGAGGAGCCGAGCUGGAUGGGCCAAUACAAGUAGGGUUGGUUGUACUGCAGCUAUUGAAUAUUGAUGACUAUUUCUGUCAAAUCAGUUUUAAAAAAAAAGCUAAACUUGUUAGACGAAGCCUUUUGUGAUUGUGUUUAAAGUUAGACUGUUUGAAUUGAUAUUAGCAAUAUACUGGUUUGUCUGUGUGGUAGUAUUCAUUAUGUAUGUGUUAUGGUACUCCAUAACCUUUAUAUUCAAAACAAAAAUUAUCUUUGUACUGAAACAAUGUUCUCAGAGUUGAGAAACAGCAAGUAUGUUCAAGGUUUUGUCACUCUCCUAUCUGUAGGUCUGUUGCAAUUAGAUACACCUUUGGGACCAACACACACACUUUUUAAGUAUAUGCCCCUGAAUUAAUGUGUGCAGAGGCUGGUCUGCCCACAGUAUUUAUAUAGAGCCAAUUAGACUGCGUUGCAUGCAUAAGUCCAGCCCAUUGUACAGGGCGUACUUGCACUGCUGAAGCUCCGCCUACGCACACCACACACCAAAAAAAGUCAUGAGUUGAUUAAUGGAAAACUGCUGUAAUUUUUUUCUCAUCCACGAUUAACACCAUCCAUACUUUUUGGAACUUGUCUGCACUGUACAGUAGUUUGAACUAUUUUUUUUUUGUUUCAAUGGUUUCUCCAGUUUCUUAAACAUUCAGGGAGACUGAUCCUCUCUGUCCCCCCUGUUCAUCUCUCCAACUCCAUGCACUCAGCGGAGCUGUGGAUGCCCCUCAGUCACGGUUGACAGGGAGAGAAACAGAAAGAACCUUUGGUGUUUUUUACUGUUGUGGACAAAUAAGACGGCAAAGCACCAUUUCACGUGCAAUUACUGUAUUCACUUCUGAAACGACACCAUUUAUUGAGCAAAUGAAAAGCAGCUCCACUCUGUCCCAUGUUCUGUCUCUCCUAAUCAGUGCCCUGAAAGCAGCUGUGAGCAGUUGCGACCCUAAGUAGCGGUUGACAGGUAGAGAAACAAAAGGAAUGUCAAAAACCUAUGGAGUUUUUUUGUCUUGGAGAUCAAACAAAUACAACACAUGAAAGCAGCACAAGUAUUUUCUAACUCCUACUUUUAGGGUGUGUCUUAGUUCUGUAUUAAACUCCCAUUGUUACAUUUCAUUCAUUGUACUUUAUUUGUUUCCUUGAUUUUAUCCCCCUUAAAAUUUGUUGUCUGUUAAUUUUCUCAAUAGGUAACACAUAGACCGACAUGCAGACAGAUAAAUACUAGUGAUGCAAGUUAUUAAGACGUUAAUCUAAAGUUAUCGAUCAUCCAACGAUUAAUUGAUAAGCAACCAUUUUCUUCAAAACCCUAGUUUUAUCUUGUUUCAAGGGUCUUUCCAAAACAUGAAGGGCUAUUAUUUAUUUAUUUACAAAAUGAUAUUUAAAAAAAGGCAUAAUUAUAUUUUUAUAUCUUAUUGUGCCACCUGUAUUAAAUACUGACUGAAUAAAAAAACAUUGUGGUUUGUCUCACACAUGAUUUAACUUGGAUAUAGUUAUUAAAUAUAACAAAACAAAAACCUAUUAGGUUACUGAAUAGAAACAAGUUCAAUAGAAUAAAAUAUAUGAAACACUAUUAAUCCCAACAAAAGCCCUCAUCAUCAGCCGUGCUUUGAGCAUCAUAUCUUUUUCUAUCAUAUUACAAUUUUUUUGCAUAAGGCCCUCUUCUUUUCUGUUAUCACAUGCUUGCCUUUUGAGCAAAUCAGUGAGUUUUGGUUGAGAAACUGAUUCAGCUCCACCAGACAGCCCGGCUAAAAAAGAGCUAUUUAGCUGAAAUCUUAAGGAACUUGAGUGUUUAUAUUUAAAAGCAGAACGGUAUUAAUAGCAUACUGCAUGAAUGAAACAAAAUCCAUGUAUACUGGUUACAAGUAUUGUCAUUUGAAUAUUUUUUUUUACAUUUUCUGACUUACUGUCAGUGGCAUGGCCAGAAAUUGCUUUUUGGCCAGGCCAAAUAAAAAUGGGUGGGUCAAAUUAUUAUAGUUGAACGCAACAUCUGGAUUUCAAUUUGCCAAUGCACUCUGAGCUUACAAGUGUGUGAGCCACGAAAGUUUGUUGCAUUUAACAUUACACUGUGUGGCACAAAGCUCUCAUCAGCCAGUAAGCUGUCAAACUUAAAAGCGACAUGAUAGAAUCGUCAGAGAUCCAGAUGUCUGUCGUGAACCUCUGCGUUUUCACAUCUUUUAUCUCUUCCAAUAUGUGUUUCCACACUUUAUCUUGCAAUUCUGGUAUAGCCAGAAUUAACUCCAACAACUGUGAGUGGCUGCCCAUCCAUGACAAUAAAGUUCAGUAUUCUCUCAGUGAUUUUUGUUGCCUGCACGCUAUUUGGUAAAAACAUUUCACCUCUUUCCUUAAUGUCCUUCAAAGUUCGCUGCUUCAUGCCCUCUCCUUUCUGUUUAGUUUUCUGUUCAACAAACUCAGCGUGCUCUUUAGGGUAAAAUAUCUGGAGAUGCUUAAUUAGGCUGGUUGUGUUGUAGCUUGAAGGUUUAUUAGGGCCUCUUAGAACAUUCACUGCGCAGGUAUUGCACAUAGCCAUCAAAUGUGUCAGCUGAGGGUAGUAUGAAAAAGUUCCAGAUGACUGAUCCUUUUGCUCGCUCCAUUUUGAAAACUGUGACUGCGGCGUAUUGCUAGCGAAUGACUUCUUUCUGAGAGCACAUGUAUAGAAAUAGACCACAUAGAUCUGCUCAUAUGGCUCGGGCCCAUUGUCACGAUACCUGAUCUAGAAUUUUCUUCAAUAUCCAAACCGAUACAGAUAUUAAUAAUGGAUCGGUGCAUCCGAUUUACGUUUAGGAAAAUAUAUUGUCAAAAAUAUUGUAAACAGGAAAACCUUUUUUUACCAUAAGAUGAGGCACUUUAAUUUACUUUUGUUACACAAGUUACAAAAGUGAAGUGAAGCCUGUUCUUGGCUCAUGGCAUAAUACAACUGUCAGGGCUCAGCCAGCUGCGCAGUUUUCUGCCGGCACUGCCUUUUUCUGCUCUCUCUCUUUUCCGCAGGUGGCUCGAGUUGGCAGGUGGGCGUUGUACACACCUGCAGCUCAUUCGGCAGCGUGUAGCUGCGGUAUUUAAACAGCAAGCAGACAGCUGAAGGACGCCAGAGUGUUAACCUAGAAUGGUUCACCUUACACUCUGGAUUCCACUCCAAAGCACUCACUCGUGUUCUGAUGUCCCCAAGUCAAGCCUGCACGCUCUGGACCCCGUUUCAGAUGCUGUCCACACUCAAGCUCCCUUCCAACACUCCCUUGGUGUUACCAAGCCGGGCUGAGGACUCACAACGGUUCUACCUGGUUCCUUCAUCUGUCCACGGCUCACUCUUCCCGCCGCCACUGCUCAGAUCCCGCUACAGCUCCACCGACCUGCCCACCAGCCAUCUCAGUCAUCUGCUGGAAGUCAUCCGUUGAGCCCGUCUUUCCGCUCCACUCCCCCCGGCUCGGUUCCCGCGCUCUGCGAUUCCCCCGAGUCCGGUCUCAUGUUUCCUUCCGGCAUCGCUCAGUCGAGGGUUUAUUACCGCAAACCUCCUUGUACAACUGUGUGCUAUAAUAAACAUCUUAAGCUGGU